AUUGAACGCUGGCGGCAGGCUUAACACAUGCAAGUCGAGCGGGGUGAUGGUGCUUGCACUAUCACUUAGCGGCGGACGGGUGAGUAAUGCUUAGGAAUCUGCCUAUUAGUGGGGGACAACAUCUCGAAAGGGAUGCUAAUACCGCAUACGUCCUACGGGAGAAAGCAGGGGAUCACUUGUGACCUUGCGCUAAUAGAUGAGCCUAAGUCGGAUUAGCUAGUUGGUGGGGUAAAGGCCUAACAAGGCGACGAUCUGUAGCGGGUCUGAGAGGAUGAUCAGCCACACUGGGACUGAGACACGGCCCAGACUCCUACGGGAGGCAGCAGUGGGGAAUAUUGGAAAAUGGGGGGAACCCUGAUCCAGCCAUGCCGCGUGUGUGAAGAAGGCCUUAUGGUUGUAAAGCACUUUAAGCGAGGAGGAGGCUCUUUUGGUUAAUACCCAAGAUGAGUGGACGUUACUCGCAGAAUAAGCACCGGCUAACUCUGUGCCAGCCGCCGCCGUAA
rnacentral:rRNA from 1 species